rfam:Brachypodium distachyon strain Bd21 chromosome 3, whole genome shotgun sequence.
CACGGUACCCUUUGAUUCUCCUUAGUUCAACCAAAUGAACUAAAAUUCUAAGAUGACAUAAUUUUUUAGAAAAUUAGUUCAUUUGUUUAAACUAAGGAUGGUCAAAGGGUACCCUG